UUGCAGUCUCUUAAGCCGACCGACUGUUGUACUUCAUCAGUAGUUGGUAUGCACUGACUGCAUAAAUUAAUAUUCUUAGGUUGUGUAUGUGCUUAGUUAUGUACUGAGUACGCCAAGGGACCUUUGAAACAGGA